rnacentral:rRNA from 1 species
UACGUAGGGUCCAAGCGUUAUCCGGAAUCACUGGGCGUAAAGCGUGCGUAGGCGGAUGUUUAAGUGUAAUGCGAAAUCCUGUGGCUCAACCAUAUGGACUGUAUUGCAUACUGGAUAUCUGGAGGAAUGCAGAGGCAAGUGGAAUUACUGGUGUAGCAGUGAAAUGCGUAGAUAUCAGUAGGAACACCAAUGGCGAAGGCAGCUUGCUGGGCAUUUUUCUGACGCUAAGGCACGAAAAGCGUGGGGGAGCGAAACA